GACGAACGCUGGCGGCGUGCUUAACACAUGCAAGUCGAACGGAAAGGCCCUGCUUUUGGGGUACUCGCGUGGCGAACGGGUGUGUAACACGCGGGUGUUCUGCCCUCCUCUUCGGGAUAUGCCUUGGAGACACGGUGGAUUACCUGAUAUAUGCUAUCUUUAGUCUGAUGGUUGGAUAGUUUUUUCGGUGUAUGAUGUGCUUGCGGGCUAUCAGCUUGCUGGUGGGGGUAUGGGUUACCAACGCGGCGUCGGGUAGCCGGCCUGGGAGGGUGGACGGCCACAUUGGGACUGAGGGAAGGCACAAGCUCCUACGGGAGGGAGCAGUGGGGAAGAUUGAACAAUGGGCGGAAGGCUGGUGCAGCGACGCCGCGGGGCGGAAGACGGCCUUCGGGGUGAAAAAUCCUUUCGCUAGGGACGAAGCUUUUUGUGACGGUACCUAGAUAAGAAGCACCGGCUAACUACGUG
rnacentral:rRNA from 1 species